AAAGGGGGGGUCUUGGAUUGGGGGCUUUCUGCCUGCUGAGGAGAUGCUCUGCUCUUGAGCUACAGCCCCUUCCCCUAAAGUGGGGUUGGGGGAGGAGGUGGAAUGGAGGGAGGCAGCCAGGUCACAGCUCCAGGCUGGCAGAGAAAGAAGGAAGCCAAAAAAGGAAUGUUUUGAAUGUUGGUGGGAAGAAGAUCCUCUUUCAGGCAUGACUCCACUUUCCUCGCAUGGUGGGGUUCAGGAGGGGGGGACACUCCUCUUUUAUCAUGGGAGCUCCACACCUAGGCAGGCUUAUCAUUCACCAGGAAAAUAUCUUGGGCGGGAAAAUGCCUGCAGGGCCUCAGAGGCUGCCUUUGCUUCUAUCUCCCUCCCAAUAACCUGCAUCUUCCGAGCUCCUCAGGAAGGAUGGAAGAGGCAGAUCCUAGCGAGGAUGGAAGGGGGAAGAUGGACGGUUGACCUGGUCCGGCUGCCUCCCCCAACCUCUGACCGUUCCCCUCCAGGACACUCAGAGAGAUCUGCGAGGAUGGAAGGAGGAAGAUGGACGGUUGACCUGGUCAGGCUGUCUCCCACCACCUUUGAAUGUUCCCUCCCAGGACCUUUAGAGAGAUCUGCAGGUGAUGAACACGACAGUCAUUGUUCUUGGGUCUCAUCAGAAAGAACCAAGAAUGAAGUCAAAGGAAAGACCUUUCAAGAUCAAGAGGAAACAAGACCACAAGAGAAAAACCAAGAAGAAAAUGGGAGGUAUGAAGGCCUUCUAAUGCAGACUGAUAACGACCAUCGAAUCCCAGUCCAGAAAAAACAUCAGAAGGGGAAGAAAACAAAUGGGAGACCUUUAUGUGGCAAAACAUUCAAAAGUAAUCUAGGUUCAAUUCACACUGCAGAAUCCACACAGAGGAGAAACCGUGUGAAUGCUUGGUGUGUGGAAAGAACUUCAGUGACAGCUCAGGCCUAA